UGUUUAAGUUAACCUAUUUGUAGGACAUUAAGAUCAAUUUUAGCUUAAAAAUAAAUGCAUAGAUGAUCAGAGCUACUAAUUUUAUAAAUCUAAUUUGAUUUUUAAAAAUUUUCAGACUCAGUUGUACAAAAUAUCAGUAUGAAAAUAUCUAUGUGGGUACUUCAGAGAAAGUUCAUGGAAAAAUAGGAUUAAGACUACAAAAAUUUAGAAGUUCAUGCAUAGCUAUUUCAUCAUGCAUAUUUUCCAAGAACUUUUAAAAGAUCCCUCAUACAUAUUUAUAGGUCUCUAAUGUAAAAUACAAAAACGUACACUUACAGAAAGGGAUUCUCCUCAGGGCUUCCUUCAUGUGCUUGCCACUGGGUUCCCGAAUAUAAUCCAGCUUUCUGAAACGACUAGAUGCCAGUUUAUAGCUCCUGAUAGGACUUAAUAAUACGCCAAGUGUCUUAUGAAUCCCAAACUUCACUAAAAGUAAACUUCACUAAAAGCCAUAUAACUGUAUGUUAUUUCUCUGUUAAAGCAAAAACCAUUUGGAUCUUUAAUAAGACAGUGGGGGACCUGAAUGCCCUAAUACAGGCAGUCACAUACUCAGGGCUGCCUGGGAUGUUCCCAGUCUACACCUGUUGUCACUUUGCAAUUAUUAAUAGUGUUCUCCUUUCCUCAAAAUAUCCUGGUUAGAAUGAUAAAUUAUAUGGCCCUCCUACUUAUUUGAAAUUAAGCUAUUUUAAUUUCUGGCUUAAAUGUAAGUUGUUUUUGUUAUAUUGUACUUUAUCUUACCUGUUUAAUUUUUGUUUCGUACUGAUUUUUCAUUUAGUCUGUUGGGACUUCCUCUUAAUUAUAAGAAUAUAUUUUUGUGAUCAAAUACAAAAUUAGCCAUUUUAAGUGUACAAUUUAGUGCUGUCACCUAACAUACUGUUUCGCAGCCAUCACCACUGUUUCCAAAACACUGUCAUCACCACCUAAAAUGUCUGUUAGGCAAUAACUCCGCCCUCGCUUUCCCUCAACCCCUAGUCCCUCUCAUCUACUUUCUUUCGGUACAAAUUUGCCUAUUUUAGCUAGUUCACAUAAGUAGAACUAUGAAAUAUUCAUCCUUUUGUGUUUGGUUCUCUUAGUCUAAUGGUUUCAAGGUCCACCCAUGUUGAAGACAUAUCAGAACUGCAGUCCUUUUUAAGCUGAAUAAUAUUUCAUUGUAUACCUAAACCACAUUUUAAUCCAUGUGUGUGUUGAUUGAAUGAUGGGCAGCUGCUUCUCUUUUAAAACUUUUUUAGUCUCACCCUGGCUCUGGCUUUUACCCAGCCUUUUCUCUUUUUCUAGCUCAUACCUCUGUGGUAUGUCCGUGUGCUUUUUUGUUUUGCCCGUAACUUUUUAUCUGUUAGUCCUGUGGCUGCCCUAGAUUCUUAUGUUUGGUCUUUGAAAUUGCUUACCUUUUAUGGUACCUUGCCUCAGUUGAACAAUUUCUUACUUGAUUCACUUAAAAAUCCUUACAUCUUUUAACUUCAUCUUGAUCUUUUUAAAUUUCUUGUGGGUUUUUUUUCUCCUUCCACAUCCUUAUUUUAGAACAAUAAAAUUGUUUAAGUUUUACCUACUGGACCAAAUUCUGGACGUGGAGAUGGUUUUAUUUUGUAUUGUGUUUAGAAUAGUGCGUCAUCUUGUGCUGUUAACUCUUAGCUUAUAAAUAGUAGGCAGGAAUUACUGCCAUCAGGGUAACAGCUGUGAGGUGAGCUCACACUCUAAAGGAGGUUGACUAUUUUUUUCCUUCCAUUUGUCCCUGAGACAGAUUUUCAAAUCUCUCUCUCAGAUUCCCAGUACCCAGAAACUUUUAUCUGACUCCGUGACUCUAAGAAGAGUACCUCUUUUGUAAUUCCUUUCUCUGAUAAAAUCAGCCAUUUCUGAUUGGCAGUCAGCCAUUUCUCGGAGACGUGAUUGGGUCUAGGAGCUGGAGUGUCCUCUGUGAUCACUGAGACCUGGGGAAGCUUUGUAAAGAUAGCCUGGAAAGACCCCCAGCCAAGAUGCACAUUUAAUUCUUGUAACCAGCAUCCACUGAGUUUCAGCUUUGGCUACUCACAGGUUCUGAUAAAAGUAGAAAAGGUAGUUAGUGUCUUUAGGCAAAUUAAAAUGUCUGCUUAACGAAAGGUUAACUGACUCACUAAGUUAACUAAGGAACAAAAACAGCAUCUGUAAUAGGAAUGCCAGACAACAAGAUUUUAUAUAAACACAAAUACACACAUAAAAAAAAUUGUGUGACUGUGAACUGGUCAGGAUUCUUAUUUUCCUGACUUAAAGUGACGAGUUUGAAUUUAGCAUUGUCUAAAAGUCUUCGAAGUGCUGACAUUUCAUGAUUGUCUACCUCUGCCUAGUUACCUUAGCAUCAGUAUCACCUGUAAGUCUGGAAUCUUCAGUACUGAUGGCUGUAAUCCAGGAAUUCUGAGGAGCUUUUUAGAAAUGUCAGUUCAUGAGUCUCGCCCCACUGGGUGAGAAUCUCUGAUGGAGACCUAGGGAUCUGUUUUAUUAAAGUUCUUCAGGGAGUUCUGAAAUGCCUAGCCACUAACAGUAGACCUGUAUUUAGAAACUGGAGAUACUUGGCAAUCUAGUGUUGUUGAUUUAAACCUAAUCAGACUAAUUCAGGGCUGAAGUUCUUAUUGGCAAGCAGCUUAACCUCACGCAUUAUGUUGGCUAGAUGGCAAGAUGAACUUGCUCUAUCAGACUCAGGUGCCAGCCAGAAUAGCAUUAAAUCAGAUACCGCAUUGCUUAUAAUCCUGCGCUGCCCGCAAAAAUAAUUCCUAAAAUCUUGGAUCAUAUUAAUUUGAACAAGAUAUGAAAAGUAAAAUCGAGAGAGGACUAAAUCCUUCAGUUAGGUGUGUCAUUUGCCUGUUUCUACAGAUGAGCAGUUCCUGUACCAAUCGCCCAAUAAGUCGGCAGCUGUCUUAUUCACUGGACUUUGAGCUGUGAUUUGUACCAAUCAGAUUCUUCGAAUCCUUUGAUUCUUUGAAUUUCUUCGAAUUCUUAUGGAUUCCGAACACCACUGGGAAAGGAGAAAAAUUUUAGCAAAGAACUCAAAAGUAGUCUCAACAAUUUUUUUAUAAUUCAUAAGUGGUGCUGCUUUAUAGGUACAACUUCAUUAUUGGCUGUUUCUUCACAUUCUAGUGUACUCUUUAAUCUACUCCUUCAUUACAAUCUCUAUUGGUGUCACCAAAGGUGUUACCUAUUCCUACCUAGUAGAUACUUCUCUUUCACCAACCCUCUUGGCAGGUCUGAUGGGCCUGACCAGUCCUUCCCUGAGACACUUUCCUUUGGGCGUCGUGUCUCCACACUUCCCUCUUACCUCAAAUCCAACUUUACCUCUAAAUGUAGAUGCUCCUGGCCCUUUAUUCUCUACUUUUUUCCUAAGUAAUCUUAUCUCAUCACGGGAUUUAAGUACCGUAGCAAUUAUUACUUCAUGCCAGACUCUUCCUCUGAGCUACACAAUAUUUGCCCUCUGCCCAACAGUCUCCAGUUGGACAUGGCACUGGCUUCUGGGACAAACUGUCCAGCUUGAAAUUCUGCUCCAGGUUGAAAGCCAACUCUUUCAUAUCUCCCCGCUGUGUAUUCAGUUGUUCAAGCUGGAACACUGGAAAAAACUGUUUAUUCUUCCCAUUCCUUUUCCCUGCCAUCACUUCCAUUGACAAGAAAGCCAAACUGGCUUUGUGAUUUUUGCCAUAUUUUAGUUUAACCAGCUUGUCUCAUCAAAUGAUAAUCUUCAGGAAGUCACUGGUUUGAUGUUCUCCUUAUUCUAAUAAGAUGUUCAUAUAUAUAAAUCAUGUAUGAUACCCUUUAGGAAGUACUACAUCAACCUCCAAGCUAUGUGUUGAAUCUGCUGUGUUUUUCCAUCUUCAUCGAUACCACUCUAGUUAUCUUUUACCUGGACUGCUGGGAAAAACUCCUAUUUGCCUACCCUCUUGUUCCCUUCCAGUCCAUUUAGCAUACAAUCAAAAGAAUGAUCUUAAAAUACAAAUGAAGUAAUAUUACUCCCCAGCUUAAAACCCUUCCAGAACUUACUAGAAAAUCCAGUUUUCUAAUCAUGGCCUCCACAGUCAUGCAAGAUCUCUCAUUGCAUGCCACUUUGCCCCCAUUUACUUUGGUUAAGCCACAGUGGUCAUCUCCCAGAUUAAAGAACAUAACUGUUUCCCAUUCAUGACCUUUAUAUCACUAUUUCCUAAUCCUGUUCACUACUAUGUGACUAUUUCUUUCUCCUGUUUUAGAGUUUUGAUUAAAUGUAACGACCUGAGAGGUUAUUUUGGUUACCAUGUUUAGAAAUACCCUGCAGCUGCUUGGGACACUGGCAUCCCAGCUAAAUGCUGAUUCCAGUCCUUGAUGCUUGGCUUCCUGUCCAGCUCCCUGCUAAUGCAUCUGAGAAAACAGCAGGUGAUGGCCUAAGUGCUUGGGUCCCUGCCACCUACUUAGGAGAUCUACAUGGAGUUCAUGGCUCCUGGCUUCAGCCUGGCCCAACCCUGGCUGUUGUGGGCAUUUGGGAAGUAAACCAGCAGAUGGAAGGUCACUCACUCACGCUGUCUCACUUUGCCUUUCAGAUAAGUAAACCUUUUUUUAAAAAAGAAACACUCUUUCUUAGGAAGUAACAAGGGAGAUCUAAAGUCCAAGGAUCCAAGUAGAAGAAGCAGCUGGCCGGCGCCGUGGCUCAAUAGGCUAAUCCUCCACCUUACGGCGCCGGCACACCGGGUUCUAGUCCCGGUUGGGGCGCCGGAUUCUGUCCCGGUUGCCCCUCUUCCAGGCCAGCUCUCUGCUAUGGCCAGGGAGUGCAGUGGAGGAUGGCCCAGGUGCUUGGGCCCUGCACCCCAUGGGAGACCAGGAAAAGCACCUGGAUCCUGGCUCCUGCCAUCGGAUCAGCGCGGUGCGCCGGCUGCAGCGGCGGCCAUUGGAGGGAGAACCAACGGCAAAGGAAGACCUUUCUCUCUCUGUCUCUCU